CCCUCGGGGCUGCUGCUGCCGGCCUCUGGCAGCCGUGCCCUUGGGCUGAGUCAGGAUGCGGCAAGGGCCCGGGCUGAGCCCUGCCGGGGCGGGAGGCCGUGUGGCCACAGGGCUGGCAGCGCCGCUGGCAGGGAGCUGUGCUGCUGGGGCCCUGACAGGCUCUGUGUUCCCAGGGAUGGCCGGGCAGCACCUGAGGGGGCAGAAGAAAGAGCUGCGGGCCCUCAUCGAGGCACUUCAAGCCCUGAGGAGAGAUGACAACCCUUCUCAGACAAACACAGAUCUUCGGGAGAUAUUCUCUAAAAGAGCUGCAGAGCUACGUUUGUCUGCUGGCUUAGGAGAACCAGUGUUCAUUUAAGAUGCUGUGGAAGAUGAGACUACGCUGAGACCAGAAGAGACCAGCUGGAGCUCCAGGCACAGCUGAUGACUUGCACAGCAGAGCCUGUGGGAAGCUCGCAUGGCUUCAGCCCUCUCCCCCUGCCUGUAGAUAGCUCUGUCCCUGCAGCCCUCAGACACUGCCCAUCCCUUCUUUUUCCCUCCACUUUCCCUCCCUUUUGACAGCUCCCUCCUUCCAGCCCUCAGACACUGCCCAUCCCUUCUUUUUCCCUCCACUCUCCAUCCCUUUUGAUAGCUCCCUCCUUCCAGCCCUCAGACACUCCCCAUCCCCUUUUUUGCCCCUCUGCUCAUCCCUUUGCUUCGCAUUUCAUCAAUAAACAGUUUUCCUUUUUCACUUGA